AUACUACUCCCUCCGUUCCGAAUUACUUGUCGCGAAAAUGGAUGUAUCUAGACGUAUUUUAGUUCUAGAUACAUCCAUUUUCGAGACAAGUAAUUCCGAACGGAGGGAGUACCUC
rnacentral:pre_miRNA from 1 species